rnacentral:lncRNA from 1 species
UCUCUCAACAACAACAAAAAAACUUGUAUAGUUACAUAUGACUUUGUCACUGACACCACCUGAUCAACUGCAAACAAAUUUACAAAAGCAACGGCUACAUCUUUGUUUACAUCACUAUUUUCUAUCAGUGACAGCAAGAGGAGCACAAGUUGCCUCAGAUAUACAAUGCAUGACUGCUUGUGCUUAUAUUGCCAUAUAAGCACAUCAAUCAUAAACUGCCACAACCCAACACCGGGUGCAUCACGAGCUCGCUCCGGCUCUGCUUACUGCGCCAGGUCCUCUGCAACUUACUACAGGGCAAAAGAGAGCCCGUAUGUCUGGUCGUAAGGGCUAGUCCUCUGCUCGUCGCACGUGAGCACCGAGGGGUCCUCAUUGUUGCCUGAUGCCUCCCACCGGGCCAGAUAGCCGUCCCAGGAAGAGCUUACGAGCGUUGGACGGUAAGGAUGCCAGGUGCAGUCUCUGAUGAUCGAACCGUG